GAUGAAGAACGUAGCGAAAUGCGAUAAGUAAUGUGAAUUGCAGAAUUCAGUGAAUCAUCGAAUAUUUGAACGCACCUUGCACCCUUUGGUAUUCCGAAGGGUAUGCUCGUUUGAGUGUCAUUGUACUCUCACACUGCUAAUUCCUUUCGGGAUUGGGAGCGGUGGACUUGGGUGUUGCUGCUUUAGUUGUGGCUCACCUCAAAUAAGUUAGUGCAACUCUUGGUUGGACAUAGUACGGCGUGAUAAGUGUCUUCGCCGGCGCCUCUGUAAGGAGGGUGUCCGAUCGGGAGCUCUGUGCUUCAAACCGUCUUCGGACAAUCUUUGACAACUUGACCUCAAAUCGAGUAGGACUACCCGCUGAACUUAAGCAUAUCAAUAAGCGGAGGA
rnacentral:misc_RNA from 1 species